ACUACGCCUACAUGAAGCUGGAGUUGCUAGUAAUCGCGAAUCAGCAUGUCGCGGUGAAUACGUUCCCGGGCCUUGUACACACCGCCCGUCACACCAUGGGAGUCGGAAAUGCCCGAAGUCUGUGACCCAACCUUAGGGAGGGAGCAGCCGAAGGCAGGUCGGAUGACUGGGGUGAAGUCGUAACAAGGUAGC
rnacentral:rRNA from 1 species